rnacentral:rRNA from 1 species
GUCGAACGGAACUGCUUUGAUGAAGUUUUCGGAUGGAUUUAAAACAGCUUAGUGGCGGACGGGUGAGUAACGCGUGGGUAACCUGCCUCACACUGGGGGAUAACAGUUAGAAAUAGCUGCUAAUACCGCAUAAGCGCACAGUUCCGCAUGGAACAGUGUGAAAAACUCCGGUGGUGUGAGAUGGACCCGCGUCUGAUUAGCCAGUUGGCGGGGUAACGGCCCACCAAAGCGACGAUCAGUAGCCGGCCUGAGAGGGUGAACGGCCACAUUGGGACUGAGACACGGCCCAAACUCCUACGGGAGGCAGCAGUGGGGAAUAUUGCACAAUGGGGGAAACCCUGAUGCAGCGACGCCGCGUGAGUGAAGAAGUAUUUCGGUAUGUAAAGCUCUAUCAGCAGGGAAGAAAGUGACGGUACCUGAAUAAGAAGCCCCGGCUAACUACGUGCCAGCAGCCGCGGUAAUACGUAGGGGGCAAGCGUUAUCCGGAUUUACUGGGUGUAAAGGGAGCGUAGACGGCAAGGCAAGUCUGAAGUGAAAGCCCGGUGCUUAACGCCGGGACUGCUUUGGAAACUGUUUAGCUGGAGUGCCGGAGAGGUAAGCGGAAUUCCUAGUGUAGCGGUGAAAUGCGUAGAUAUUAGGAAGAACACCAGUGGCGAAGGCGGCUUACUGGACGGUAACUGACGUUGAGGCUCGAAAGCGUGGGG